CGUGUAGGCGGUGCGGUAAGUUGGGCGUGAAAUCCCCGAGCUUAACUCGGGUGGGCCGUUCAAGACUGCCGUGCUAGGGUGCGGGAGAGGGAAGUGGAAUUUCCGGUGUAGCGGUGAAAUGCGUAGAUAUCGGGAGGAACACCUGCGGCGAAGGCGGCUUCCUGGACCGUAACCGACGCUGAGGCGCGAAAGCUAGGGGAGCAAACAGGAUUAGAUACCCUGGUAGUCCUAGCCCUAAACGAUGAGCACUGGGUGUGGCCCCUCACGAGGCCGUGCCGAAGCUAACGCAUUAAGUGUUCCGCCUGGGGAGUACGGUCGCAAGGCUGAA
rnacentral:rRNA from 1 species